UCCGAAUUGGUGUAGUGGCUAACAUUUGACGCUCUCAUCUCCCGGCUCCCCGUGUUACUCGGGGCGACUGGAGGGGUUCCGUCAAGCCCGGGGUUCGAUUCCCCGAUUCGGAG